UCGAUAAUCGAUGUAAGUCGAAAAUCUUCUUACAUUUCUCCGACGCUUGUGUAACUUGAGCUGAGGAAAAAUGCUUUAUUUUGACCCCAGUCUUACAUUACGGAGUUUGGUGCUUUUAGUCUCAAACCAAUGAAAUCUUGGCUUGAUAGAAGGUGAAAGAGAGUUUGGUUUCAAACCCGUCGGACCAGCAAUACGGGUAAUGGAGGAGAGUCGUACUUCCGAGGCAGAGCUGAGAUGGUUAUUCAGUCGUUUAGCAACGCGUGAUACGAGUGAACGCAAUCUUGCUUUGGCCGAUCUUGAAAUAACAAGCAGCGAACUUGUGCCCAACGGAUCACCCAAUGGCACGGGGGAUGGUAUGCAAAUUGGCAGCAAUGACCCCAGUGCUGAUGGGACGAUUAUUGAAUCGGCAUUAGGCAAGAAUGUGACUUCCACCCGCUUUCUAGCUAAUAUCUUAAGGCUGGCUAUCCAGUGCCCUUUCAGUGAUGUAAGGGAGCGAUGUAAAGCAGUACUGCAAGGAGUGAAGG